UGUAGUAAUACAAGGCAGACGGCUCAGUAACGCGUAGUCAACCUACCCUAUGGACGGGGAUAACCUCGGGAAACUGAGAAUAAUACCCGAUAGAACAUUAUGCCUGGAAUGGUUUAUGUUUCAAAUAAUUUAUUGCCGUAGGAUGGGACUGCGGCCUAUCAGUUUGUUGGUGAGGUAAUGGCCCACCAAGACUAUUACAGGUACGGGCUCUGAGAGGAGUAGCCCGGAGAUGGGUACUGAGACACGGACCCAGGCCCUAUGGGGCGCAGCAGGCGAGAAAACUUUGCAAUGUGCAAAAGCACGACAAGGUUAAUCCGAGUGGUUUCUGCUAAAGGAACCUUUUGUCAGUCCUAGAAACACUGAUGAAUAAGGGGUGGGCAAGUUCUGGUGUCAGCCGCCGCGGUAAAACCAGCACCUCAAGUGGUCAGGAUGAUUAUUGGGCCUAAAGCAUCCGUAGCCUGCUUUGUUAGUUUUCGGUUAAAUCCAUACGCUCAACGUAUGGGCUGCCGGGAAUACUGCAAAGCUAGGGAGUGGGAGAGGUAGACGGUACUCGGUAGGAAGGGGUAAAAUCCUUUGAUCUAUUGAUGACCACCUGUGGCGAAGGCGGUCUACCAGAACACGUCCGACGGUGAGGGAUGAAAGCUGGGGGAGCAAACCGGAUUAGAUACCCGGGUAGUCCCAGCUGUAAACUAUGCAAACUCAGUGAUGCAUUGGCUUGAUGCCAAUGCAGUGCUGCAGGGAAGCCGUUAAGUUUGCCGCCUAGGAAGUACGUACGCAAGUAUGAAACUUAAAGGAAUUGGCGGGGGAGCACCACAAGGGGUGAAGCCUGCGGUUCAAUUGGA
rnacentral:rRNA from 1 species